rnacentral:lncRNA from 1 species
GCUCUACCAUGAUCGAAAGAACUUGGAAGGACCUGUUUUAAAUAGAUUCAGCCAAUUUCUAAGGGCGCAACGUGAAAGCAGUUCCACACUGAGUGAUGAGCAGUUCGUGCAAGAAAUGUUUUCAUUUUUUGAUGUCAACAGAAAUCAAAUGAUAUCAAAAAGCGAGUUUCGAGCUGCUCUAGAAUUACUUGGUAUUGUGAGAUGGAACUUUUAACGGUGACUCUAAGAAACGGGCAGGAAAUUUAAAACACAUACGAAUAUAUAUAUAUGUUCUUCGAAUUAACAUAUUUUACCAUGAAAAUGCGAUUACAUUAUUUGCGUAAGACGAAGGCUUUCGGCUGGAUGAACAUGAAAUAUUUAACUCAGUGAAAUAUACGUCAAAAUGCGCCCAUACAGAAUCAAUUGCAUAUAUGAAUAAAGAAUAUAAAUAAAAAAAAAUUAAAUGCAAGAAAAUAAACGAUUUAUUACUCUCUAUUCAAAAACGCAUUUUGUCAUCUGUUCUAAACAUAAAAAUCAUUUAAGUUCACUUGUGCUGACAAUCAAUCUAUAGGAGAGAUAACAACGUAGUAGUCAUUGUUUUGGGGACUGUUUUUUUUUUUUUUUUGAGACGGUUUUCACUGAGUACAAAUAUAAUACUUACGAUACGUAACAGAGUAGAUACAAGUCAUUAAGUUUUGGUACAGGGCAAAAUGAAGUGCUUAUUCACUUUCUAACAAAGAAUUUAUUUACUAAACAAUUAUUAUUGUUUAUCAUAUUCAAUAUCUGAAACAAAUUUGCACAAGGACUAAUAUAUGAUAAUAAUACAGAAAUUAGAUUUAAUUUCAUUGAAAAUAUCGUUUAAUUGUGAAAAAUGGAUUAUUACAUGAAUUGAUACAAAAGCUAGAAAGACGAAGAGGAAGAGAGACAGACAGACAGACCGACAGAGAGAAACAGGGAGAGAAAAUAUAAAAAUAUAUCAUUUCACCUUAGUAUGUAUUUAUGUAAGGUAUAUACUCUAUAAUAUUAUUUAUAUAGAUGAAUGUGUGAGCAACAAUAUAUAGCAUUGUGUGUGUGUAUCUAUGUCUUUCUACCUAUCUAUAUUAUGAUAUAUGUACAAGCGCGUGUGCGUACAUAUACAUAUAUGGGUAUACUUAGAUGUACAUCCGUGCAUAUAGUGUCUUCAAGAAUAUGGUUGCAAAGGCAAUAUUAAUUAACAGCGAAGACAUAAUUACAUGAAUGAGAAUUGACAGCAGUUUUAGGAUUGUUCAAUAUUGCAAGCUUCUCCAAGGUGUCACAUGCGUGAUAGGACACCGAGGGACAAAAGCUUACAUUCUUUCGCAAAUAAUGUAGUUUCGCAGCGAUCGACGAAGUUAAGAUAAGUUAAAACAAAUUCCUUUUCUAACUAAUAUAUCAAAUAUUACUUCAAAUAUUACUUUAAGUCGUAGAAGAAUCUGAAAUUAAGUACCAAGUUGUGAUUUUGUAAACAUCACUGAAUUCAGUGUCUCAUGUAAUGUGUUUAAAAUGGGUGAUAUUCCUAGGAAUCUCUUAAAAUCUCACCCCAAGAUGCUUGCUUCGUAUAUUACUAUGUUCUCAACCACUACUCCUACGUAUGGCAAUUAUUGAAAAUCUUCGCUUUGCUGAGAAGACCUGAUAACAAUAAAUCACGUUACAGUUGAUACUGUAAUAACCAAGAUUCAUAUAAAAUAGUGAGUGCUCGCACAAACAUCUGUUUACUGAAUUUAUGAUAAUAAUUGUCGUUCAUAUAUUUCUCCUUUGCCUUGACCAGAUUUGAUUAUCAUUCGUCUUCUAGCCUGUUUUUUGAUAAUCAUAGCGACGAUGAUUUUAGUGAAUUGAAACUAAUUUUGCUCAAUGCGAUAAAUUUGUAACAACUCAAGCCUCUUUGGAAAUAAUGUCAACUGCUGAAAAUAUGUUGCCAGUGGAGCAACAGACUGUGGCUAUAUUGCUAAUUUAGUAUAAUGUAAUAUUUAUAUUCUGCAGAUUUAGUUAUCAUUAUAUUAGUCAUUAUUAGUCUCCAUCUAUUCAAAUUAAAAAUAACACCGAAAGAAAUCAUUGUAUCUCGUAUUAUAUACGUCAGUUCAAAGACUACUAAAUAUUAACUUAACCCAGUAUAUAUAUGUAUAUAUAUAUAGAUAGAUAGAUAGAUAUAUAUAUAAGAGAGAAGCUGGUGAAAUGGCAUACAUAAAUUCAUGAUAAUACCAAGAACAGCAAAAACAAUGUGAGUAGCAGUAACGGCAACAAAAAACAUGAACAAAAUGAAAAAUAAACACAAAAGACCAGUAGCAAAAACAAACUAAAGGGUAAAAAAUGAAAAUCAGAUAGUAAUGGUGAUGACAAUAAUAAUAAUAAUAAUAAUAAUAAUAAUAAUUGAAUGUGAUGUGUCGUUUAAAUGUGAUGUGUCGUCAAUGUUUAGUGAGGUUUUCCUUUAUUUUUAGCAAUAGCAAGGUGAUUAUGGAAGUUUAUGGCGUUAAAUCUUUUGUUGCCUAAACAGUUGUUGUUCCACCGCUUAUAACUUCAAGCCACAGUGGUAGUGAAACUCAUUUUUAAAUAUCCUCAUCCCAAACCCCCAAUAAAUAUUGAAUAUAUACAUUGGUAAUUUAUUUAAAUCUUUA